rnacentral:sRNA from 1 species
AUAUAAGAUGCAUUAACUACGUUUAUAGAAACUAGUAUAGUUGUGAAAUGAUUAUAUCAUCGUGUAUGUAUAUAUGCAAUAUGAAGAACCUGAGCUGCAGCUCAGGUUCUUUUUUUG